UUGCAUCCUGCAGAAAGCUAGAGCUCCUCAUGUGACCUUUGGUCCUGAAGGGAAGUUUUACAUGGUUAGAGGUUUGGGACAAAAGUUGGGACAGAAAACAAGCAUGGAAGACUCAUUGGCCUUGAACUGAGGCCAGAUUUUAGAGGGCAUAUGGUGGAGGAACCUGAACAAGAACUGAGUGUGCAAUGGAAGAGGCUGGGCCUUAGACGCGACUGUGUGCAGCCAGUGAGAGAAUCAACUUUCCCCAGGUUUGCUGGAUUUUCAUUGGUGUUCGCAGUAGCAUCUAAAGCAUGCUACUCCUUGUUGCUCGGGAAAGAAUGUAUAUCGGGAA
rnacentral:lncRNA from 1 species